ACAACUUUUAACAAUGGAUCUCUUGGUUCUCGCAUCGAUGAAGAACGUAGCAAAGUGCGAUAACUAGUGUGAAUUGCAUAUUCAGUGAAUCAUCGAGUCUUUGAA
rnacentral:rRNA from 1 species